UGGGAACGUGCCCUUCAGUUCGGAACAACCCAGGGAAACUUGGGCUAAUACCGGAUACGUCCGUAAGGAGAAAGAUUUAUCGCUGAAGGAUCGGCCCGCGUCUGAUUAGCCAGUUGGUGGGGUAAUGGCUCACCAAGGCUACGAUCAGUAGCUGGUCUGAGAGGAUGAUCAGCCACACUGGGACUGAGACACGGCCCAGACUCCUACGGGAGGCAG
rnacentral:rRNA from 1 species